rnacentral:lncRNA from 1 species
UAUAGCACUGAUCUUAAUGACAAAAUUUAGAACAAUCAUUUAGAAUAAUCAUGCUUUUUAUUCUUCCACGUAAGAAACUGUAGAAUGACUUGAGACAGUGAUGGAAAAAAUUGAAUAACUACUAAUAAAUAUAUUACUGGAUAUAAGUUUUGUAGUUCUAGAUGAAUUGAACAAAAAACAUUAAAUUUCUGAGACUCCAUCCUUCCAGAGAACUAUGGAUUGUGAGGAAUUAAACGCAGCUACUCACCCGUUAGUAAGUGGUCAAAAUUUCUAAGGUUCAGGCAUUGAAAAAAAAAAAUCAAACAUAGUCCUUCUUCUUGAUGCACAAAAUAGUUCCAUUAAGCUAAGGGUACUCCAGUCUCUUGACAGCGUGCACCUGACACCCUCAAUGGGACUAUCAUCUCACUUAAAAAUUUUCUAAUAUUUGAUUCUUAGUUUUAGUAUUGAUUCAAAUUGCCUUUACAUUUAUGUAUAUAUGCACAGAAUAUUAAGUUUAAUGUGUGAAUAAUGUGUUAAUUAUUUUUCUCCCUUAUCAUUAAAUAUUGGUUGGUAUUUAUUUAUUUCCUUAUUUAUUUAUUUAAUUUUUUUGGUACUGGAGAUCGAACUCGGGACCUUGCGCUUGAGAGGCAGGCGCCAGAAGUUAAGUGCUGCCUGGUAGAAUUUUCUUCAGUGAUGAAAAUGUCCUGCACACCUGCAGUGCGAACCAGUAGUCACUGGCUGCAAGUGAGGCUGAAUUUUGUUUCGAGUUUCUGAACCUCAUGUGUCUAGUGAGUACCACAUUCCACAGAGCAG